UUAUGGAAUAUGCUUGGUUGGUAGAAGGUAAUGGCUUCAUCAUCAGAAUGUGGCACCUAACUGCGCAGUAAACUUCAUUGAGCCCCAUCAAAAAUUGGAUCAGCUUCAUGUCUUCAUUCAUUUUUUGAUUAUGGGUCUUUGCUCCACACUUGCACUCACAAGAGCAUGUCAUAAAACUGAAAAAGUUUGGAACCAUCAGGCUGUCCAUAUCUCUCCUCUAGCUCAGACCACAAAUCCACAGCAGUCUGAGAGUAUAUGACACUCUCAGAAAUGUCCUUGCUUAGAGAGUUGAGUAGCCAAGCAAUCACCAUGUCAUUACACCUCUUCCAUUGUCUAAAUAGAGGUGAGCUUUCACUAGGAAUCUCAACUUUUCCAUUUAUGAAAUCAAGUUUGUUCUUAGCUGAAAGAGAAAUCAAAACUCCCCUUUUCCAGUUCCUAUAACUAGAUCCAUCAAAAGUCACAUUAAUGAGGUUCAUUCCAGGUGAAUCUGAAGAUGAGAGAUAAUAGGGAUGGGUCAAGUCUACU